rnacentral:rRNA from 2 species
CCUGGCUCAGGACGAACGCUGGCGGCGUGCUUAACACAUGCAAGUCGAACGGUGAUGUCAGAGCUUGCUCUGGCGGAUCAGUGGCGAACGGGUGAGUAACACGUGAGUAACCUGCCCCCGACUCUGGGAUAACUGCUAGAAAUGGUAGCUAAUACCGGAUAUGACGAUUGGCCGCAUGGUCUGGUCGUGGAAAGAAUUUCGGUUGGGGAUGGACUCGCGGCCUAUCAGGUUGUUGGUGAGGUAAUGGCUCACCAAGCCUACGACGGGUAGCCGGCCUGAGAGGGUGACCGGCCACACUGGGACUGAGACACGGCCCAGACUCCUACGGGAGGCAGCAGUGGGGAAUAUUGCACAAUGGGCGAAAGCCUGAUGCAGCAACGCCGCGUGAGGGAUGACGGCCUUCGGGUUGUAAACCUCUUUUAGUAGGGAAGAAGCGAAAGU